CUCCACUAGGUUGUGGUGGCACGGGCAGGUGCUUGAGGUGUUAAACAGUGACUUUGGAUCACUCUGCAACAGCUCUUAGCACGUUCGAGGAUGAACGUAUAUUUAAGUGGAGGAGAAUGUAACGACUCGACCGGUCGUUUUGAUCUCUAACACGUUGUUCGGCGGUUUGAGGCCUUGAGUAGCUUCACUUAAUGUAUUAUGACUUGUACGCGUGGUCGAAAUUUAAUUUCGGGAAGUUCGAAGUUGAUUUGGAAGGAAAAUUCUAAUUUCGGAAGCUUUAAGUUGGGAGAAUUGACUAAGGUUUCACUUUUGAGUAACCGACCUCAGAAUCGGGAUUUGAAGGUUCCAAUAGGGCGUAUAUUCGGGCUGAGUAUCGGAUCAGCCAGGAGCAUUUCGGCGCUUAUUAUGGAAAGUUUAAAUUUUGAAAGCUUAAUAAUUUCCUAAGUUUGGUUUGUAGUGGGCUUUGGUGUUAUCGAUGUCCGUUUGGGAUUCCAAGCCUUGUAAUAGGUUUGUAUUGUGAUUUAUGACUGGUGUGCAAAGUUUGGAGUCAUUUCGUAACGUUUUGAUAUGAAUCGGAUGUGUUCGUCGAAGUUUGAAAGUUCAAAAGUUUAAGAAGGAUUUCGAUCGUCGAUUCAUAGUUUCGAGGUUGUUUGGCAUGAUUUGAGGCCUCGACUAAGUACGUAAUGUGUUUUGGGACGCGUUGGCAUAAUUGGUUAAGGUUUCGAGGGUCCUGGGUGGAUUCCGGAUGGUUAACAGAUCGAUUUUUGGACUAAGGGAAUGCUGGAAUUUUCUGGUUGCUGGUUCGAUCGCUUCUGCGGAAGAUGGGUCGCAUAAGCGACAUCGCAGAAGUGAGGUUCGCGCCGCAAAAAUGGCUGAGAGUGAACUGGUUGAGGUCGUAGGUGCAAAAAAAUUUCCGCACCUGCGUGAUCGCAGAUGCGACCAUUGGAGCGCAGAUGCAGACCUUGCUGGGGGAGGCUGGGAUCGCAAAUGUGGCCGAAUUCGGCAUAAGAGGAACCGCACCUGCUGAUGAAACAUCGCAGAAGCGAAGGUAUAGAAGUGCUGGAGGGGCCACAGAUACUGAGGUUGAGGGGCCUGAAGGGAGCCGUAGAAGUGGACUUUGUGCCGCAGAAGUAGACUUUGUGCCGCAGAAGCGGCCAAGUGUACCGCAGAUGUGAAAAUGUCGUUGGGCAGAGUUAUUUUAAGAACGGGAUUUGGCCCAUCUUUAUUCAUUUUUCACUUGGGUUGGCCGAAUAUGGAGAGCCAUUUUGAGGGGAUUUUCAGCAAGCCACACAAGGUUAGUGAUUCCCACCUAUUACUGGUUAAAUACAUGGUUUAUAUAUGGAUUUAAACAUGAAAAUUAGUAAAAAAUUGAAAUUUUGGUAGAAAACCUAGAAUUUGAUAUUUUUGGAUUUUUGACCAUGAAAUUGGACAUGAAAUUAGGAAUAAAUUAUAUAUUUGAGUUCGUAGUGUUAUGGGUAAAGUUUAUCUUCAAAUAUUUUCGAAAUCCGGGCGCGUGGACCCGAGGGUUGGCUUUGUUGGCCUUUGAGCGAAGCUGGGAAUCAUUAUAAAUUGUUAAAUUAUACGUAUUGGGGUAUAUUUUGAUUGGUUUGCACGUUGUUUGACUAGUUUUGAAGAGACGAGCAUCGGGUUGAGGUGUUUGAGUGGCGUUGGAGCCGGUUAUGGAACUUCGGUGCGAAGUAAGUCUCCUGUCUAACCUUGUAAAGGGGAAACUACCCCUAGGUGAUAUUUAUUGUUAUGUGCAACUAGUUGUGGGCGCUACAUAUGUACGAGGUGACGAGAGUCUGUACGUAACUAAAGCAUGUUUAUGUCCGGGUAGACAUAGGACUUUAUCAUGUAAUAAUUGAAUUAUUUGAACUCGUCCUGCUGGCUUAAUUAAUUAAAGUUAUAUCUAAAUUUGAUUUAGAAAUAAAUAUAUGUAUAAUAGGCCGAGCCUUAAUACUUUGAGUUGUGGGUGAGUUAUUUGAGAAGCGUAAAUAUUAUAUUCGUUAUGUUCUCACGUACUGUAUUGUAAACAUGGUCUCGUAAUUCGGUAUCUUCCUUUCUUUCUUAUGGAGCGGGCCGAACGCCUCGACCGUAUAUAGAUGCAUCUAUGGUUCGUGUCGCACGACCCUCGGCAGUGUACACACUAUUCUAGAUCGGGCCGAACGACCUCUGCAGAAUUGUACGUUAUAUCGCUAUUAGUCCGAAUAUUCACGAGAUAGACCUUCCAUUGAUGCCCAGUAUUUUGUGGUACUCCUUAUUUAUUUAAUAUUGACACUUAGCAUUUUCUGAACUAUUAAGAUAGAAUAUAAGAUCGAGAAAUUUAUACUUCAAAAGGAAUAAUUGGAGAAUUAUGAAAUUUACAGAUUUAGUCCACUAUUGAUGUGCACUUCAUAUCUGUUAUGAGUUAGCAUAUUAUUUUAUUAGACCUCUAGUAAGUAUCAAUGUCGAUCCCUCGUCACCACUUUUUCGGGGUUAGGCUAGAUAUUUACUGGGUAUGCGUUGAUUUACGUAUUCAUGUUGUACUUUUGCACUAAAUGUGAAGGAUCUAACAAGUUCAUUCAGUGAUCAUCUUGGCGUGUAGGUGCAUCUGUUGAGGAGAUUUUAUGUGAGCUGCAGCUCAGGCUACGCAUCGCACUCCAACGAGUCUCCAUCGUACUAUUUAUUUUAUCCUUACUUAUUUACAUUCUGGACAAACAUUGUAUUAUUAUUGUACUCCUUAGAAAAUACCCAUGUACUUGUGACACCAGGUUUUAGUGAUUCCUACUGGUUGUUCAUAAUUGUAGUUGUGUAAAUAUUAUCAUUUACCCUAUAAAUUCUAUUUUAUACUAUUUUAUUAAUGAAAAAUUAUGAUUUCAAAAUACUAAAAUGAGUAAUUAAGUUGAUCAAUCACUAUUGGCUUGCUUGACGGCGGUGUUAGGCACCAUCACGACCUACAGUAGAUUUUGGGUCGUGACAAUGUUCGAAUGCAAAACAAAUAUGAGAUUGUCUUGAGAAUACCUACCUACAAGCAAACAAGGAUAAGGAGUUUCAGUUGAAGCAACAACUUCAAACUAUGAAACUAGGGACCAAAUCUAUUGAUGAAUACAUUAAGGAGAUUAAUGGAAUAUGUGAUAAUCUUAUGGCUAUCCACAAACCACUCGAUGAAGAUAGCAAAGUAAUUAAUUUUUCUAGAUAUCUUGGAAGCAAAUAAAAGACCCUUCGCACUGUGAUGUUGGGAAAACCACCCUAUCCUACCUUUAGCCAAUUUGUGAAUGCACUUAGAGGGUUUUAUAUGCGAGAGGAUGGAGAGGAAUAAUCUGCACAAACCACCCUUGACAACAAAAAUACGAGGAUAUGGUCGUGGUAACUCCUUUAGAGGAAGAGGAAAUCAAAGAGGAAGAGAAAAUAGGGGAGGUUUUAACCAAAGAUAGUAUAGUGCACAACCUGGACAGUUAAGUAUGCAGCAAUUUGGUAUGCAAUCUGGCUACCGUCAGCCAAAAGAGAGUCAAAAAAAUAAUCCUUGUCAAAUAUGUAGGAGAAACAACCAAUCUGCACUUUCUUGCUUCUAUAGAUGGGAUUAUUUUUACCAAGCACAACAAGAAGUACCACAAGCCUUAGAAGCUACGACUCUUAGCGAUCAGCAUGACAAUCACAUGGUGAACUCUCCAGGUAUACUUACGAAUUCUUCUCCAUUGAGAGGUAAUGGUGAUAAAUUACCUAUCACACACAUAGGAGACAAAAAUAUUGAAAAGAAUCUACAUUUAAAGGAUAUUUUUGUGGUGCCUGAACUUAGAAAAAAUCUUAUUUCUGUUAGUAAACUUGUUACCGAUAAUCCUUGCUCUCUCGAUUUUAUUGACAGAGGUUUUAUUGUUAAGGACAAGAGAAUGUGAAUAAUUCUGGCAAAAGGGAAUAGAAGGCUUGACUUGUACACUUUGAAAGGAUAUUUACAUGAGGCAUUGACAACUACGAAAGAAGUGAAGAACUCGGAUACAAUAUGGCAUCAAAUAUUAGGGCACCCGCAUUCAAGAGUUAUUAGUUUUUUACAUAGCAAUAAAAUUAUUGAUGUCAAAAGAUGAAAUAAAGAUUUUUCUAUUUGUAUUAUUUGUCAAAUGGAAAAAAGUUGUAAGCUACCCUUUCAAAUGUCAAAUAAAAGAUAAAUUGAGCCAUUAGCUAAAGUGCAUUGUAAUUUACGGGGAUCUGCUCCUAUGGCAUCAUCUCAAGAAAUAAAAUAUUAUGUCAUAUUUAUUGAUGAUUGCACACGAUUUACUUAGUUUUAUUCGUUGAAGAGAAAAUCUGAUUUUCUAUCUAUAUUUAUAGCCUUUCAAAAAUUAGUAGAAAAUCGAUUAUCAAGAAAGCUUAAGGUGUUUUGGUGUGAUGGUGGAGAAGAAUUCAGUAGUCUAGCUUUCAUCAAUUACUUGGCUCAAAAUGGUGUUCAGAGAUAAAUUUUAUGCCCACAUACUCCCAAACAGAACAGAGUAGCAGAAAGAAAACAUAGGCACAUCGUUGAAACUAGCAUGACUUUGAUAUUCAAUGAAAACUUACCAUUAUUUCUUUGCGUUUAAGCCUUCAUGACUCCAAUUUUUCUCAUUAAUAAAAUGCCUACUUCUACUUUGAGUAUGCAGUCUCCAUUCUCUACAUUACAUGGAAAACAUCCUGACUACAAUACCUUAAAGGUCUUCGGGUGCCGAUGCUUUCCUUACCUCAAGGGACAAAAUAAGAGCAAGUUUCAACCAAAAAUAUUUCCAUGUGUAUUCAUAGGAUAAAGCUUACUUCACAAAGCGUUUAGAUGUUAUCAUCCCCAAUCAAGGAAGGUUUUCAUCUCACGUCAUGUUAUCUUUGAUAAACUCAAAUUGCCUUAUGUAUCCUCUGAUGAUGAUCUAUCUGCAAAUUAAAGUAGCAUUUAUUUUACUACUUUCUAGGAAUUUCUAACGCACCCACAAGAACAAUUUGUUGAUGAAGAGCUUCAAGAACAUAACACAACAGGAUCACCUAGUAGUACCCUUUUAUAGGAAGACACAAUAGCCUCCAACCAACCUACUACAACAACUCAACCUAAAGUGCUUGAUCCUCCAGCACCUAGUGAUGCUUUUAAUAUGCCUUCUGAGCAAACACCAACAGCCACACCAGGUUGACAUAACCCCAACAGUACCUUAUCUAGCUCUAGUUCAGCAGCAAACACCUCUAGCCCCAAUAUAUCCGUCUUUCCAGGUAAUGAUCCUUUUGUAGAACUACCACCUUUUCCUAAUAAUCCAUACACCACUACAACUCAACCAUCAGAUAACACACAUCACAUUCUCACACGGAAAAAGACCAGUGGUAUCCAAAACCCCACCUUUCAAUCACUAUUUCUUGCUACCAAUUCUUAUCUUGACACUACUGAACCUAAGACCAUUAAAUCAGCUCUAUCUAAGCCUCAUAGGUUUUCUGCAAUGCAUGACAAGCUCCAAGCUCUUCGUUCUAAUGAAACCCGGAUAUUACUACCAAGAAAACCUGACAUGAAUGUGGUUGGCUUGCGCUGGGUGUACAAAAUGAAAUUUCAUGCCGAUGGCUCUGUGGAAAGAUUUAAAGCUCGCUUGGUUUCUAAAGGAUAUAAUCAAAUUGAAGGAAUAGAUUUUGAGGAUACCUUCAGUCCAAUUGUGAAGGCUUCCACAAUCCGGAUUGUUUUAUCUAUUGCCAUCACUUUGAAUUGGGAAAUCAAACAACUAGAUGUCAAGAAUGCAUUUUUACAUGGCGAUCUCAAAGAGACAGUGUUUACGAAACAACCACCUGGCAUUCGAGAUCCUAUCUUUCCCAAUCAUGUUUGCCUUCUCAAGAAGGCCUUCUACUGCCUCAGGCAAGCACCAAAGGCAUGGCUUCACAAGUUUAGCUCGUAUCUUCUUCACCUUGGAUUUCUCUAUAGCAAGGCAGAUUCCUCUUUAUUUAUUCUACAUUCCUCAGAAGUUACUCUAUUGCUCCUCCUGUAUGUUGAUGAUAUUAUCUUAACUUGAAGAAAUUCUUUCCUCUUAUCUAAGCUUAUACAUCGACUGCAAUCCCAUUUUGCCAUGAACGACUUGGGCACUCUUAAUUAUUUUCUUGUCAUUGAGGUCCAUCGCGAUAAAAAUGGCCUCUUCCACAGUCAGCAAAAGCAUGCUACUGACAUUCUUCAACGCACAGAUAUAAUCACUGCUCGAGCUCGUCCCACUCCUCUCUCCCUGAAACAUCAUCUUAAUGACUCCACUGGUCCUCCUGUCAAGGCUUUUGAAUAUCGCAGCUUGGUUGGAGCCUUGCAGUAUCUGACGCUAACUCAACCUGAGAUUUCUCAUGUUGUUAACUUGCUCUGCCAAUUCAUGCGGCAUCCUACUGAUGUCCAUUGGACUAGAAUCAAAAGGGUGCUUCGCUAUAUUGAUGGGACUCUAGACUUAGGUCUGCGCCUAUCCACCCAAUCAUCUCUCAAUCUAGUUGGGUAUUCUGAUGCUGAUUGGGCUGGAUGCCCCAUUACCAGACGAUCCACAUCAUGAAUUUGUGCUUUCCUUGGAACAAAUUGCAUUAGCUGGUCCUCAAAGAAACAACAUACAGUCGCCAAGUCUAGUGUGGAAGCUGAAAAUUGCUCUUUAGCAUCUCUAGCAGCAGACUUGACAUGGAUCACCUACUUGUUGAAAGACGUUGGUAUCUCAUUAUCUCAACCUCCAUUGCUCUUCACAGAUAACAUCAGUCCUUUACAUUUGAUAGCUAAUCCAGUGCUACAUACUCAUACCAAGCAUGUUGAACUUGAUUAUCAUUUCGUUCAGGAAAAGGUUGUGCAAGGUGCCAUGGUGACCAAAUUUGUCCCUUCAUUACGGCAAAUAGCAGACAUCUUCAUCAAACCUUUGCCAAAAUUUCAGUUUCCGAUGCACGAACCAAGCUAGGUGUUGUUGGCCACCCUACCACCAGCUUGAGGGGUGAUGUAAGACAACCUGGCUAAGAUGGUUAGGACUCAAAUACUAACCUUCAGUAAUUCUGAGUUUCAGAAUCCUUUCCUUAUUAGGCACAUCUAUUUUCAUGGUUUUCCUUCUAAGUUCAUAAGCCUUGAGAUUUCCUAUCAACUCGUCCCAAGGAAGUAUAGCAAUAUUCUUUGAUUCCUGAAUGGUAGUGAUCUUGCUUUUAAUGUGAUUGGUAAAACCCUGGUUAAUAUCUUCUCAACCCUCUCAUCUUCAGGAAUAAUCCUUACAAGAGACUUUAGUUUAUUUGUCAAUGUAGUGAACCUUGUGUACAUAUCCUGAAUGGUUUCUCCAUCUCUCAUGGUAAAGUUUUAAUAUUGAGAAAACAACAAGGUUCCUCUUGCUCUUUUCACCUGAAUUAUUCCUUCAUGGGCCACCUGCAAUGUGCCCCAUAUUUGCUUGGAAGUGGAGUAGCCUUGGAUUCGUCUAUACUCAUCUAGACCAAGUCCACACACAAGCCGUUUCUUGGCUUUGACAUUCUUCUCCCACUUCUUCAAGUACUCACCAUUGCAAUCAGCUCUUGUCUUUGGCAUAUCCUCUCCUUCAACACUUUUCUUCAAAGUAGGCAGGUGACCAUCAGUAAUUUUGUCCCAUAGCUUGUAGUCUUCUGCCUGCAUGUGAUCUCUCAUACUUGUUUUCCACCAAGAGUAGUACCGUCCAUUGAAGAGUGGUGACCUAGCAGUGGAUUGCCCUUCCCAAUUUCCAGGUGGUGCACUCACUUGAUCUUUUCCUAAUGUGUUAGCCUCUUCAAGGAUAACCCCUUCCGAUACUAAUUGAUAUUUUAUACUUCAAUACCACACAAGAGGUGAUGUGCUUUGUGUGGUGUCCAAUUUUUGCCUACACUAAUUUAUAGAAGAACCUGGUUCCUAAUCUACUGUUGCGGAAUAAAUAAUACAUAAAGUAGAGAACACGAGUAUUUUUACGUGGAGAACACCCGGCUCAAAAGUUGAAAAAACCACAACCUACUUCCUAGUACGAUUUUUUCCCAAAACUUCACUAUAGCUCUGAGCAAAACAACAAUAUUUACAAAAUUCUUGUAAACCUAAGGAUUACCUCUAAUCCUUGUAGCAACCAGCCACAGGCUGUUGCGACAGUUUCAUUUUAAAUCUAACUUGAACAAUACAACUCAAGUACCUAUUACAAUUUGCUUCUAAGAAAGCCGAAAGGUACAACUCAAAAGCCCUACUAUAAUUGAACUAGAAUAAAUGAUAGACACAUGGAACUGGUUCUUUUAUCUGGUUCAUGUAGCUUCAGGUUCACAUUUUUGAAUCACAUAGGAAUUACUUGCAAAAUAUCUUGUUAUUUUGCUCUCAAUUCUUGCUUAACUUCAGCGUAUAUGCGGCACAAGUAAAAGAGAACAUCACUGAUAUAUAUAGAGUUGGUAAGAUUAGGAUUAACUAGAAACUUGAUGCUUCACUUUUCCUUGGUGGAAGAGUUCUAGUUAACUUCAAUAUCUAAUUCUUUCCUUAUGUAGGAUAGAGUUCUCUUCAAGUAAGGAGUCAUGCUCCUUUUCGAUUAUGCAAGAUUUUUGUUUAGGGAUUAUCAGAUAUAGCCACUUAUACGUAUCCCUUGCACGUGCAUGCAUUUUGCUUAAAUCUGACCGUGCCCUGUGUACACCGUUCACGGACCUAUUUCAUUCAUGUGUUCCUUUGACAAUCAUCAAAACCAAAAUAACUCGGGCCAACAAUAUGGCUUUAGGCCCUCGUUAGGCAAGUAGAGCUCUUUUGCUGCUCUCUCAAUAGUCUUCUUUCCUGCCUUUGGAGUUGAUGAAAUGGACAAUUCACACAGAGCUAGUUAGUGGGUAAGAUCAAAUAGAUCUCUUAUCUGAAAGCUAACCUUUUUGCUGUGGCAUGCUCCUCAGAUUUACGGAUUCGCUGGGGCCUUAGGUUCUACUUAGUUUCGCAAGCCUAAAGCUAAGAUCAAAGGCGAGGUAGGAAAUGCCCCGCACGAACUAUCUAAUCAAGUUUUCUUUUACCUAUCACAAGCAGUGGCAAAGCCGUGUUUGUUCGUUGCAUUUCAAGCACCUUCCUUCACUCGAAUGACAUGGUUAUGGGGUUUUACAUGUGGAUCAAAGUUUUUUUCUACUUUUUUUGUUGGAGAAGCUUUGAGUGGUUUGAGAAGCUGAAGAAUGAGACUUUAGCAGAGUUAACAGCUCGAUUGGUUAAUUGAGAGCGAGAAAUACCAAGCGAUUUGAUGGCUUGAGCCUUGAAUUGAUAGAGAGAAACAUAGAGUAAAAGCAAUACUUAUUGGAGACAAGAUUCAAUUGGUCUAGAAGUUGAGAGAAAUUUGUGAUAAGAAAGAGCGUACCAUUAUUUUAUUCGACCUUGAUACGACGUGAAAUACCUUAUAAUGUAACAGAAUGUCCUAAACCACAGUGUAACUCCAAAACUGUUGUCAAUCGAUUUUGAAGCUCUAAAACCUCUGAUUUAGGUGACAUUAUAAUAUAUUUCUAAUGAGGGUUAACGGAGACAUGGGAUAACAGAAAGAUCAGUUGAAUGCCACUACCUAAGAGUCGCUCCGAUAUAUCAAGCCUUACCAAUUAAAGAUUAAUUGAUCGAGUCAAAUGAUAAAGACACUAAUUAAUAAUAACUAAACUUUGCAAUUACCAAAUCCUAAUGUGAUCAAACAUGGAAAAGAUGUAUAAUUGAUGGUGCAUGAAAUUCACAAACUUACAGAAAGUCAUGAAAUUCACAAACUUACAGAAAGUUUCUUGCCAAAUUACCAACAUCACAAAGAAAAGGGAUUUAAAACCACUCAGAGUUGCAUCGUCUCUGGAUAACAAUCCAUGAGGACUUACAGAGACGUGCAAUGUUAUUUAGUGUCUUGCAUGAAGAAUAAAUUUCUCUUGUUUUUACUAAGCUUUCCAUCUAAGCAAUACUUAUGUAAAGAGAUUUCAAGUGUCUCAUCUCACAUCUCACUUAUGAGAGAAGCAGUAGCAUUAGUUUCAACUGAACUGUCCCAAACACCACCAGAGACCCCAAAGUUGAGAUUAUAUUUGGGCUGCUUGUUGGGGGAAAACAAUCCAAAAUGUUUCUCCAGUUCAGGGUUCUUGUUGUUCUCAUCAAACAUGGCAAAUAUAUAGGUCUCAAUAGGUCCAGGCUUUCUUGGGCUACCCUCUUUAGCGUGUUGAAUUAAGUUCCUCAAGUAAGUUGCUGCAUUGUCAUAUGUAGCUCCAAAUGCACCAGCAGAUGGCCAGCCACUCUCGGACACAACAAUCCCUACAGAUGCCCCUCCUGAUCGCUCGAGGGCAGCAUACACAGAAUCCAGCAUUGCAUCAAAUAAGUUCCUAUAUUGGCGUGAACCAUCUUGUACUACCACAUUUGGUGCUGUAAAAAGAGAAUAGGGGAGAGAAAUCUGCCCUGGAUUACCAGAAUAGCUGAAAUAGGGGUAAAUGUUAACGAGUAAAGGUGCACGUGUGUCCCUUAAGAACCCAACAAUUGGAUCAGUAAACCACCUAGCAUCGUUCCUAAACGAACCCUGUGAUGGUGGAUAAGAGUUUCCAAUCAAGGUCAUGUCUACAGAAGUUGAGACCUUGAUGUUGUUUCCUAAACCAGCUUCACCAAUUGCUUUGUAAAUAUUUACCAUGGCAGGAGUAAGAAAUGAGGUAAGGUAAGAUGUGCCUGUGACAGGGCUGAUUUCAUUCCCAACAGCAAUAUACUUAAUCUUAACAUCUGGCCAGAAAUCUUUAACAUUCUUUUGUACCCACCAUCUUGCAUGUUCCAUUCCGGAAGCAAUGUGCUUGACAUCUGAAUUGGGAAGUCCUAACAUAACUUCAAUGUUUGAGCCUUUUAAUGCUUGUAAAGCUCCAUGAUUUGGAUCAUAAAGCCUCAGUCUUCCUAUGUUUCUUGACUUGUAGAGCUGUAUAACUUCCCAAUGAUUUGGCAAGUUGUUGCCUAGCAUUCCAUAGCAAACACCUAUUGAUUGAGCCCCUGCUCAAUAAGAAUUAGAAUUAGUGUUAGAAACUAAAUCAAUUAUGUAAUUCUUGAAAAGUUAAAAACUUACAGUAGACAUGGUAGGUCCCUCCACUAGGGGAUGAUGUAACCAUUUUAAUUUAUGUGACAUAAUUUAAUUCGGCACAAAGUUUAAGAAAAAGAAGAAUGUGAAAAUUGUGUUAUUAAACAUGCUAUAAUAUUUGUACAGACUAUAAGAUAUUUGGAACUUGUAGUCUAAUAUGUUCCAUAAUAUUUGUGAUGUUAUAAAAGGUUGAGAAUAAAAAGUUUAAAGUUAAAAUAUUUUUAAAUAUCAAAUAUGUCAUUCUCUUUGGAAGAAACUAACAGAAAGUGUGUCACAUAAAUUAGAACAGAGGGAAUAUGUGUUAUGUGUUAAUACGAACCUAAUAGCUUUGACUCAGGUCGGUGUAUGUGUUAAAAGAUUUACUAUACAACUAAUAGACGUCUAGCCAAUAAAUCAAAUGGACACUAGUCUAAACUCAUAAAUUUCAAAUUUUAGAUUCACCGCCCUCCCCUCAAAUUUGAAAAGCUUGUGAGUGAGUGUUACCCGAAAAAAGAGCAAAUAACUAUCGCUAAAUGAAUAUAGUGCAAGUAAAUUUGAGAAAAAAACACAAGCAAUUUGAUAAGAAAAAUAAGCAAAUAACUAUCAACUAAAUUAAGAUUUUGCACCAACAAAAUUAUAAGACAAUAUUUUUGGCUCGGAAGUUCAAAUAUUUGACCAGAAACCUGCUAUCUCAAUGGUGCUGGCAACAAGUAGUAAUCCUAGCAGUGUGAUAGCAGCCAUUUGAGGAGUAUUAUGUUUAUCUGAGGUAGACAUGAUGAGAAGACUUGUUGGAAGAAUUAAGAUGAACAAUGAGCUAUUUAUAUUGAGAUAGCCUUGUGUAAAUGUAAAUAUUCGAGUGGAAUAUUAUUGGAGUAUUUGUUAUUCGUAGGCUAAUGAAGUUAAGAGCCGCCCCGGCUGACCUGGCUAUUAACAUGUCAACUUGAUCAUUUUGUGGAAAAAAGAAAAUGAGUUUGAUGAUGUACAAGUUUUAUAUUUUCUCCAAAGGUGCCGUACUAUCUUGACUUUACAAAAGAAAUUAUAGCUAGUUACUUUCUUUCAUCCUGCACAACCAGAUGAAUAGCUGCUUAAUCAUCGUUACAAAUAAUAAAAUCUUCUGUAGUAUCUCCAUGUUUGUGGUAAAUACUUAGCGAUAUCUAUUGUUUAUAUUAAAUCAAGUAAUUUAAUAUUUUCAAUUCAAAUUUAAAAUAAAAUUCAUAUCAUUUAACUAUAAGUAAGUAAGUAAUAAAUAUUGGUCGUAUUUUGAAUUCCCUUAAAAGUAGUUGAGAGAUUUGAAAGUUCUCUAAAACUUUCAUUUGAGUAUACAAUAGAAGAUUGUAGAGUGGCUCGCUGUAUCUUAAGAGUAAGAUGUCAUUUUGCUAUUGCACCAGAGCAAUGAAUGAGAAUCUACUUUGAAGACAACGCCUUCCAUAAGAGUGUCUCGAACCGUUUUUUUUUUUCCUAUUUAAAACUCUAUCUUAUCUUUUAUUAUUAACGGUACAUCUUUUAUUGUAUCUUAAGUGCUCCAUAUCUAAUAUUUUUAAAUUAUAUGAAUUGAUUUAAUGAAAAUUUUCUAACUUCUUACUGCAUUUAUUGAGGAUACUGGAUUCUCAUGAAGACUAACCGAUCAUUUGGUAAAAUAGUGAGAUAAAUAAGGAUAUUCUAUGUGAGUGGCUAUGGGAUUAGCUAUUCCAUUCCACCUUCUACAUGUGAUAGUUGAUUUUACUAUUUUAGUGUAAAAUUUAUUCUGAAAUUAGCUAAUACUUAUAAUUAAACACAAGAUAAAUGCAAUCUCAAAUUCUAUCCCGAAAUUAUUAUUAUUAUUUCUUGUACCAAACGACCCCUUAGUGAAUAUGGCAUGCAGACUCUGAAAAGGCCAAUGAAUCAGUAACCGGAUUCAUUGUCUUCUUUAGAGGAAAAUUUUAUGAUUUGCUGUACCUGUUUAAUUUCUUAAUAUUAGUUGAGAUGUAAAUUAGGAGAUAAACUUAGAAAUAUCCCAUAUCUGGAAGCUCAGAACCUAGCAGCCCCAAGUUGCAGCAAAGUAUUGGAAGAGUUUUGGCACUUACGUGCCAAUCGAGAGUCCUAAAAUUCAUUAUUUUAAUGGCGGCUUUUAUUUGAUCGGUCUUAUUUUACUGGCGGCUCUACUGAGGAGGCAGCUAAGAUGAUGGACUUUGAAGUUAUUAUUAUAAUAAUGAUAUCUUGAUAGUGUUUUGUCAACUAACUAUAAUUAAAGAAAGCUACUUGCCGAUAAUGGACCAUUUGGAAUUUCGGAUGGGAUAUUUUAUGUUUUUGUGACCAAAAGAUAUAAGGGCAAAAUAGUCAAAUUUGCCCCUUUGUUAAUUCAAAUUGAGUAACUAUUACAAACACUUGGUAUAAUAUUUUUCCAUUUAGCAAAAAGUUUUGCCCUUGCCCCCCAAGGGAGCUCCAAUCUUGGAUGGCAAAUGGGAUAGUGCAGGGCGGGCCGGGACAGGGCAAGCUUUGACCCGCUAAGAUUUUGACCUGCGUUGUCCUGCCCCAUUUAGCUUUUUUUCAAAAUUUUGUCAUGCCCUGCCCCGCCUUGCCCUAUUUAAGUUUUUUUUUUAUCCUAUCCCUCUUUCUUUUUUUGUCCCACUAUCCACAGUAACAACCCCUUAAUCUUUAAAAAUAACAGCUUCUCUGAAUUUUCUUUCUUACAGUGAAUAGGGUCUUUUUUAGAAGAGUGUCAUCGUUAUUUAUAGAUGUAAGAAACUGGAACAAAUUUGUAGUUAAAUCUUCUCUGCCAUUUUUAUUUCUUCAUCUUACUUAUGAAUAGCAUGAUAAACUAGAAAUAAAAACUUAAUCCCUCACAACUUUUUAGCUACACUAGCAUCUUGUUCUAGAUAUAUACAAUUAAGUUGUGAUGAUUGAAACUCUAGCAUUUUGAUUUGAUUUUGGUUUAAUUUCUAAAAUUAUUGGUCUAAAAAUAUGAAGAUAUAUUAAAAGUGUUUGAAUUAAUUUUAAAGUAAUGAAACAUUAACCAAGUCAUAACCAUACAUAACGGUAGAAAAAUUUAAGCAACUAAAUCAAAUGGUAAUAGCCCAUGUAUGCUAUACACAGGCAUCUCGUUAAACGGCCCAGUUUUUAGCCGGCAAACCAAACCCACACAUGCCAUGCCCUUUAAAGUUCUUCAAAAUUUAAGUUUUACCCUCUCCUGCCCCGCCUCGCCCCAUUUUAAAAUUCCCCUGCCCUGCCCCGUUUAGAGUUUUCCCUGCCCCACUCUGCACUUGCUCUGCCCCAUUGCCAUUCCUAAUCUUGGAAAAACUUUUUUAAUCAUAAUCAAAAGUUGAGGGGGUAAAUUUGGACUUUUUGUUAAAGAAUUUGUACAAGAACCAUUCUUUUGUUAUUUGAGAUCUAUUAAUGGAAACGAUAAAUACAAGAUGAUUUCCUGUCACGAUUCAAAAUUCCUCCGAAGGAGUCGUGAUGGCACCUAGUCUCCAAAACUAGGUAAGCCUAACACAUACCGAAAUGAUAACAAAUUCUACUAAACAACUGUUGAACAUGAACCCGAAAUUUCUAAAUAAACCAAUAGUCUCAACAUGAUACAAUAUCCCAAAAUUGACAGUACAAGUCAUAAGCCUUUCUAGGAGUAAUUAUACAUAACGAAUACAUCAUUGUUCCGGAUUAAUAGGAAAUAAUGAAAAUAAUUACAAUAGAAGGUGACUUCGGAACCUGCGAACAUCUAGCAAGUGUACCUUGAAGUCUCCAUCCGCACAAGCAUGAAUCUCAAAACCAACUCGAUCCGAAGUACCUGGUUCAGCACAAAAUGUGCAGAAGCGUAGCAUGAAUACACCACAGUGGUACCCAGUAAGUAUCAAGCCUAACCUCGAUAAAGUAGUGACGAGGCUAGGUCAAGACACCUACUGAACAUGUAAACCUGUGUAGGAUAUGACAUAAAGCUAAUAAGGAAGGAAUAUCAAUGUAAUGCCAAUAGCAGAAAGAAUCGAGAUUACAAACAGUAGUAAAGAUAAAGGGGACACGAAUAGCAACGAGAAAUAACCAAGUAAUUAAGCAGCAACAUAGUCGGGGUACUGAUAUAGUAUAAAUGUGCUCAAGUAGGGAAAACGAUGUCAACUCAACCGAUAAAAUCAUUUCUAAUACACAAUUUCAACAAUCUCACUUCUCGUAAUCUCAUAUCAUAAAUCACAACUUCUAAUCCUUUGAUACACAUGGCACCUUGUACCCAUAUUUUCCAUCUCACUUCGCACGGCAAAAUUCAUGUGCUACUCGGUACAUAAUAUCCGUGACCAAUGAUAAUUAGGAUGUUUAAGAGAUUUUAUUUAUAUAUCGUAAAGUAAAAUUACAAUUUCUGAACCAAGUAGGAAAUCAAUGAGAAAAAUGAGUUUAUUUUAGAAAUUAUUUGGGUGAAAAAAAUAAUAUUUUCAAAUAAAAUACAACAUCGGAUAAGCUAUUGAAUUUAAUAUAGAAUUUAUUAAAUUAAAACAUAAUAACAAUUCCUUAUUAAAUAAAGUAAAAACAUUAGAGAGGGUAAGGAGAUUAAGUUGAGAAAUCAAUUAAAGUAAAAUAUGACAACUAUUAGUAAUGGUAAAGUAUCGAAUAAAACGACGAGUUUUAACGUAAAAGUCACAUAAGGUAAGCAUAUUAUUAAUUCUUUUAUUUAAAAUCGCUAUAUUACUAACAACUCAGCAGGAUAUGAGGUAAUGACUCAGCGUAGUAAAUUCAUCUUGAAAUCAAUUCACCAAAAUAAUAGUAUUAGGAAAAGAAUUAAGAAAAUGACGGUAAAGCAAUAAAUGAAUGACAACAACUCAAUCUUUGGAAAGCAGUGAAAAAUCGGAAAUACAAAUUCUCCGAGUCUCGUACGAACGAAUCGAAGCCAAUACAAUACAACAGGGAAUACAAAAUACAUAAAUUAUUGCGGCGCGCAACCCGAUCCCACCGUACAAUACUAUUCACCCUUAUUCCACCGUGUGAAUAUCAAUAGUAAUAAAUAAAUAUAUGUUGCGGCGCACAACCCGAUCCCACCAUAUAAUCAGAGUCAAUAUCAGAAUUCACUCUUAUUUUAUCAUAUCAAUUCACCCGUAUUUCACCUGUUGCGUCGUGCAACCCGAUCCCACCGUAUCAAUAUCAUAAUAUUAAACAAAAUAUGUUGCGGCACGCAACCCGAUCCCACCAUACAAUCUUAAUAUCAUAAUUCACACUUAUUUCACCAUACAAUUCACCCUUAUUUCACCUGUUGCGCCGUGCAACCCGAUCCCCCGUACAAUAAUUUAAAUCAACAGCAAUAAUUAAAUAACUCAAUUUACAAGAAUCUCUACAAUCAAGGGUAUGAGUACACGGCAAUAAAAGAACCACGUAAAAAUCAAAGGAAUACAACAAACUCUACAAAAAUGACAGGAUAGGUAAGGCACACGAUAACUAGGUAUGCAAUCACAACAAUUAUGACAGGUAGUAGAUAAGCACAGAGUAAUAGAAGAAAUUCAACAAUUAAGAAGUAACAAGACAUUAAGGAAGGUAAUAACUUCAACUAAGGCAUAUAAGGGCCAAAUAGCGAGUAAAAGGUACAAUAAGUACAAACAACGUCAAAUAAAGCAUGUAAGAGUAGACUAACAACGCGAUAUCACACGUUAUGACCAUUCAAUUAAAGGCAUGGGAAGAGACUAGACACUCUGAAACGGUCCAUUACCACAUAUGUGUACCCACUCGUCUCUCUGCGUACACGACUUUCACAUAACAAGAUAGUACAAUUAACUCAAUUCCUAAGGGAUAGUUUCUCCCAUACAAAGUUAGACAAAACACUUAUCUCAAAAAAACUAGACCGAUACUCUAAAAUGACCUGCUCGAGUGAAACAACCUCCGGACGGCUCAAAUCUAGCCAAAAUAACAUCAAAUCAUAAAAAAAAACUCAUAUAAAAUAAUUUCGGAUAAUAAAGUUUCAAUCUUUAACAAAAACUAAAAAGUCAACCCCCGAGCCCAUACCUCAAAACCCGAUUAAAUUUAAAAAACCCAAAUAUCCAUUCCGAUACGAGUUCAACCAUACCAAAAUUUCCAAUUUCCGAUAUCAAUUCAUCCUUCAAAUCAUCAUUUUACAUUUUGAAAGAUUUUACAAAAUUUCCCCAAAUUUCCAACUUAAUUCAGUAAUUAAAUGACGCAAAAUAGCCAUGGAUUCAUGAAAUAUAAUAAGAUUCUAGUAGAGAUAAUUAACCCCAAUGAAUUGCUUGAAAAACCCACAAAAUAUCACCCAAAGCCGAGGUCUACAACUUCCAAAAUGAUAAAAAUGGCUAACCCUCGAAAUAGAGUUCUUAUAAUUCUGCCCAGGCAUUCCUCAUACGCGAUCGUGGAACAAGAAUCCCGAUCGCGAAGUACAAAACUGCUGCCCAGCGAAUACAAGCUUCGCGUUCACGGCACAUACCUUGCGAACGCGAUGAACAAUAAUGCAAGGCUAUGCAAACGCAUCCAUUGUUUUGCAAACGCGUCGAGAAAAUACUCCACCAGCCCCAGUUGCCUUACGCGGACGCGUAAACAAGCACGCAAAUGCGAACAACAAACAACUAGAGCUUUGCGAACGCAUGAGCACCAUCGCGUCCGCGAUGAACAAAUCACAGAUCCCCCAGAACCACUUCACGAUUGCGAAGAACAAACGGGCACACCAGAAACCAGCAACUCAAAGCAUGAAAAAAAUGGCCUGUAGCCCAUCCGAAACACACCCGAGGCCCCCGGGACCCCGUCGAAACAAAUCAACAAGUUCCAUAACAUAACCCGGACCUGCCCGAGGUCUCAAAUCAUAUCAAACAACGUCGAAACUACGCAUUGCACCACGAAUCUAACUUAUGAAUUUUCAAAUCUUCUAACUUCCAAAACUCGCGCCGAAACAUAUCAAAUCAACCCGGAAUGACAUCAAAUUUUGCAUGCAAACUCCAAAUGACAUAACGGAGCUAAUCCAACUCUCGGAAUCACUUUCUGACUCCGAUAUCACCAAAUUUCACUCUCGGUCAAAUCUCUCAACCUUCCAAAACUUCAACUUUCCAAUUUCGCCGAAAUGCUUCAAAUUACCCUACAAACCUCCAAAUCCAAACCCAAAAGCACGCCUAAGUCAAAAAUCACCAUCCGGGCCUAUCGGAACCAUUGAAACUCCAAUCCGAGGUCAAAUACUCAAAAGUCAAACCUUGGUCAAUUCUUUCAACUUCGAGCUUCUCAAAUGAGAGUCACUCCCUAAAAUCCUUUUCGAACCUCUCAAAAAGUCGAACCGAUGAUGCACGUAAGUCAUAAUACACUAUGUAAAGCUACUCAUGACCUCAAACUGCCGAACUGGACGCAAUUGCUCAAAACGACCAGUCGGUUCAUUACAUCGUCCCCCACUUAAACUAUGUUCGUCCUCGAACGUGCCAGGAGUCGUUCCAAAGCUAUCAAAUCACUGCAUGAUCUUACCAUACAUACACCCGGGGUGAUUCCACAUCACCCUAAUCCAUGUAGGCCUGAAAACGCAACUUAACUGAAGAUCUCACUUCAUCUUUAGUCCAUAAAUUUAGGACAGAACCCAACCCUCAACAUCUGAAACUCAUCAUAGUACACGAAUCUCGCAUCAGUACACUAUAUAAACCUGAACAGGCUGAAUCGAGCCACAAUUCCAACCCAAGGUACAAUCACAUGAUGUUCCACACAACUCAAAUGCUUGUAGUAAUAACUUCCGACCACCAUAGCUAUCCUAUAUCAAUCUUGGCACUGGUAAUACAUUUCACAUCGAAUAAGACUUUGUUCCGGACCUCCGCAACUCCGCCCAUGAUAAAGAAACAUGCGGAAACUCAUAACCACCCAUGAAAUAAACAAGUCAAGAAGCUCUCUCGUCCGUACACCAAGCAAGCAGCCCAACUGACAACUCAUCAUGGAACCACAUAGAUCAUCACACAACACGGUUCAUACACUAGACCAGCAAUAACUCAGUUAUGCAGCAAAAAUAGAAGGACAACAAGGUACGAGGACUAUCUAACAAGUACCAUAGAUAUAACAACAAAAGUACAGUUUCAUUAACUCAUCCCACAAAGGGAAAACAAUAACACCAAAUAAACACAAGGAAAGGGUAUCCCACAUAACAUCCGUUGCGGCGUGUAGCCUGGUCCCAAAUAUAUUAAUCCACAUAGGGAUACCCAUCGAGUCAAAGUGCUCGGGUUCACUGAUCACAUGAAUGCUGAUAUCAAGCACAAUAGAGUGCACAAGUAUAACUGUGGAAAAUGGAUAGAAAUAAUACAACAUGGAGGAACGCAAGCACAAGUAAGGUGCAAUGAGCAAAUCAACAUCAUGAGGGCAUCUUGCCCACAUUGCCAUAAGGCCCGAACGGAAUUACAACAUGCGUGGAGAAUAAUCAUACAACCUCACAUCCCAUCAUAGCAUAAGAGAGAGGCACAUAACAUAGGCCAGGGGCACAAAUAAUAUCCAUUCUGCCCGGUAACAUAACUGUGAUAAAAUACACAUUCCCAUUGGGCUUUCAAAUAGCCCCCAAACCAAAUCCUAAUCAUUCCCAAACAGGUAAAUAUCCUUCCAAAUGUCUAUAGCAACCUAUCGAUAAUUUAUGCCAUCAGUUAUUCCAUUCUCAACAUUUCUUCACAAUCCACAAAUAAGAAAUAGUCUGCAUAUGAGGACAUCCAGCCCAAAACCUCAUGAAUACCGUAAUUUCCAUACCCGGCCUUAACUAUGCUACUCCAAUGGCUGACAUAUCAGUCACACCCCAUCAUCUUGCGAAAACACCCAUAUAGAUUUUUCGGGCCGCAUAACAAAACUUGAACCUCAGAAGCCUCAAAACCCAGUAAUCACCAUACCACUAGCCAAGCAUCUGCAAACCAAAACACAAGGUGCCUUUCUAAAAUGCACGAUCUUCACAUAUGAUAUCCAAUAAUGCCAACAUUCUAUUAACUUCUGAUAUCCGUCCAAGAGAAGACCGUAAUGUACAACAUAUUCCUUAUGCUCGUAGCAGACAACCGACUCAAGCUGUGGCCGACACUAUCAAGAACUCUCCGAGACCCGCCCGCAUGUAACUAAGCCAUCAUGACCGCAUCUCCCCAACUUAACCGAGUCACACAAAUCGUCCAACCCAAGAGUACUGCCACAAACGCUGGCAGAGGAUUUCCAUCCAAAAAGGACCAAUUAUUUCCAUUGCUAUGCUGACCCAACACCACAGAGCUGACCUAUUUCUUCAGAUACUCCUCGUCUUUCCUCUGGGGUAACACUUCUUCCUGUCGAUACACAACGACCCCAAACAAAACUCAAUGCAGAAAAUCCUAGUACAAACUACGUAGCCCAGAAGCUCAUAAACCACUGUAUUUCCUUAGAAGCACCCCAUAAUUCCCCAACCGAGAUGCCCACCCUGAAUAGACCUUCUUUGAAUCUGAAGUUAUUUCUCGGACCCGCUUGAUACUGAAAUGUAGAUUUAUAAAUGAUGCAUAAAUGCAAAUUUCAGGAAACCUUUCAAUACCGUAUACAUACACCCCAGGCCAAACCUGAUACAACACCUUACCCUGGAAGCUGCUCGUUGAUAGAGGACUCCCCCACUUGGCGCGAAGCCAUAGGACACAACAUCCGAUGAUUCACAAACUCUUGACAGUCAAACUCGCUUCCUCUAGUGCCUCGAAUGAUAAUAUGUACCUUUCACUAAAUAGAAAUCCCAUACGAACCACAUAGUCUCUAAUACCACCAACUAUCCUCAAUCAACAUCCACCUCGUGACCCUACCACGAUCGCGACCACUAGUCAACCAAUUAAACCUUCCCAAGCUUGUACUUAUCAUCCAAAUGCCAGAACCCGCUCCACCCCCACGUGAAAAACUAAAUAGGGUCUCAAUACCUUCGCAUCCUCGGUCUGGACGAUACGUUGAGACAAUAUUUGAGCAUCCCUGACUCCCUCGUAGCCCAUCCGCAACAUCACGAACUGCUGGUGCAUAGCUGGUACCGAGUGCGCAACACCAUACACGAGUGGAUGCAAAGGAACAUAAGACAUAUGCUUCGAUCUGAAUCAAUGUCACACGAUAAGGAUUGAAAGAAGUGGAAUUUCCUAAUAGUUUCUGUAGCCUCUCAAAGAUAAGUACAGACGUCUCUGUACCGAUCCGCAAGACUCUACUAAACCUGCUUAUGACUCGUAGCACCUAUGAACCAAGAGCUCUGAUAUCAACUUAUCACACAUAUCGAAAUGAUAACAAAUUCUACUAAACAGAUGUUGAACAUGAACCCGAAAUUUCUAAAUAAACCAAUAGUCUCAACAUGAUACAAUAUCCCAAAAUCGAUAGUACAAGUCAUAAGCCUUUCUAGGAGUAGUUAUACAUAACGAAUACAUCAUUGUUCCGGAUUAAUAGGAAAUAAUGGAAAUAAUUACAAUAGAAGGUGACUUCGAAACCUACGAAUGUCCAGCAGGUAUACCUUGAAGUCUCCAUCAGCACAAGCAUGAAUCUAAAAACCAACUCGAUCCGAAGUACCUGGUUCUGCACAAAAAUCUGCAGAAGCAUAGCAUGAGUACACCACAGUGGUACCCAGUAAGUUUCAAGCCUAACCUCGGUAGAGUAGUGACGAGGCCAGAUCAAGACACCUACCGAACAUGUUAACCUGUGCAGGAUAUGACAUAAAGCUAACAAGGAAUGAAUAUCAAUGUAAUGCCAAUAGCAGAAAGAAUUCAGAUUACAAACAGUAGUAAAGAUAAGGGGGACACGAAUGGCAAUGAUAAAUAACCAAGUAAUUAAGCAGCAACAUAGUCGGGGUACGGAUGUAGUAUAAAUGUGCUCAAGUAGGGAAAACGAUGUCAACUCAACCAAUCAAAUUAUUUCUAGUACACAAUUUCAACAAUCCCACUUCUCGUAAUCUCAUAUCAGAAAUCACAACUUCCAAUACUUUAACACACAUGGCACCUUGUGCCCACAUUUUCCAUCUCACUUCGCACGGCAAAAUCCACGUGCUACUCGGUAUAUAAUAUUUGUGACCAAUGCUAAUUAGGAUGUUAAAGAGAUUUUAUUUAUAUAUCGUAUAGUAAAAUUACAGUUUCUGAAUUAAGGAGGAAAUCAAUGAGAAAAAUGAGUUUAUUAUAGAAAUUAUUUGGGUGAAGAAAAUUACAUUUUCAAAUAAAAUACAACAUCGGAUAAGCUACUAAAUUUAAUAUAGAAUUUAUUAAAUUAAAACAUAAUAACAAUUCAUUUUUAAGUAAAGUAAACACAUCAGACAUGGUAAGGAGAUUAAGUUGAGAAAUCAAUUAAAGUAAAAUAUGACAACUAUUAGAAAUGGUAAAGUACCGAAUAAAACGACGAGUUUUAACUUAAAAGUCACAUAAGGUAAGCAUGUUAUUACUUCUUUUAUUUAAAAUCGCUAUAUUACUAACAACUCAGCAGGAUAUGAGGUAAUGACUCAGCGUAGUAAAUACAUCUUGAAAUCAAUUCACCAAAUUAAUAGUAUUAGGAAAAGCAUUCAGGAAAUGACGGCAAUACAAUAAAUUAAUGACAACAACUCAAUCUUGGGAAACCAAAGAAAACCGAAAAUACAAAUUCUCUGAGUCUCGUACGAACGAACCGAAGCCUGUACAAUACAACAGGGAAUACAAAACACAUAAACUGUUGCGGUGCGCAACCCGAUCCUACCGUAUAAUACUAUUCAUCCUUAUUCCAACGUGUGAAAAUCAAUAGUUAUAAAUAAAUAUAUGUUGCGGCGCGGAACCCGAUCCCGCCUUAUAAUCAGAGUCAAUAUCAUAAUUCACUCUUAUUUCACCAUAUCAAUUCACUCUUAUUUCACCUGUUGCGACGUGCAACCCGAUCCCACCAUACAAUAUCAAUAUCAUAAUUCACCCUUAUGCUUAUUUCACAUGUUGCGGCAUGCAACCUGAUCCCCCGUACAAUAAAUUAAAUCAACAACAACAAUUCAAUAACUCAAUUUAUAAGAAUUUCUACAAUCAAGGGUAUGAGUACACGACAAAAAAGGAACCACGUAAAAAUCAAAGGAAUAAAACAAACUCUACAAAAAUGACAGGACAGGUAAGGCACGCGAUAACUAGGUAUGCGAUCACAACAAUUAUGACAUGUAGCAGAUAAGGACAGAGUCAUUAAAGAAAUUCAACUAUUAAGAGUUAACAAGAUAAUAAGGAAGGUAAUAACUUCAACUAAGGCUAUAAGGGUCAAAUAUCGAGUAAGAGGUACAAUAAGUGCUAACAGCGUCAAAUAGAACAUGUAAGAGUAGACUAACAACGAGAUAUCACAUGUUAUGACCAUUCAAUUAAAGGCAUGGGAAGAGACUAGAUACUCUGAACCGGUCCAUUACCACAUAUAGACUGUGUACUCACUCGUCACCUUGCGUAUACGACUUUCACAUAACAAGAUAGCACAAUUAACUCAAUUCCUAAGGGGUAGUUUCCCCCCACAUAAAGUUAGACAAGACACUUACCUUAAAGAAGCUAGACCGAUACUCUAAAAUGACCUACUCGAGUGAAAUAAGCUCCGGACGACUCAAAUCUAGCCAAAAUAACUUCAAAUUAUAAAUAAAACUCAUAGAAAAUAAUUCUGGAUAAUAAAGUUUCAAUCUUUAACAAAAACUAAAAAGUCAACCCAAAAGUCACCCCCGAUACCGCAUCUCAAAACCCGAUAAAAUUUAUAAAACCCAAACAUUCAUUCCGAUACGAGUUCAACCAUACCAAAAUUAUCAAAUUCCGACAUCAAUUCGCCUUUCAAAUCAUUAUUUUGCAUUUUGAAUGAUUUUACAAAUUUUCCCCAAAAUUUUUAACUUAAUUCACUAAUUAAAGGAUGAAAAUAACCAUGGAUUCAUGAAAUAUAAUAAGAUUCGGGUAGAGAUAACUUACCCUAAUGAAUUACUUGAAAAACUCACAAAACAUCUCCCAAAACCGAGGUCUACAACUCCCAAAAUGAUAAAAAUGGCUAACCCUCGAAAUAUAGUUCUUAUAUUUCUGCCUAGACAUUCCUCAUACGUGAUCGCGGAACAAGCAUCGCGAUCGCGAAGUACAAAACUGCUGCCCAGGGAAUACAAGCUUCGCGUUCGCGGCAUAUACCUUGCGAACGCGAUGAACAAUAAUGCAAGGCUAUGCGAACGCAUCCAUUUUUUCGCGAACGCGUUGAGGAAAUACUCCACCAGCCCCAGUUGCCUUACGCGGACGCGUAAACAAGCACGCAAAUGCGAACAACAAACAGCUAGAGCUUUGCGAACGCAUGAGCACCAUCGCGUCCGCGAUAAACAAAUCACUGAUCCCCCAGAACCACUUCGCGAUCGCGAAGAACAAACGGGCACACCAGAAACCAGCAAUUCAAAACAUGAAAAAAAUGGCAUGUAGCCCAUCUGAAACACACCCGAGGCCCCCGGGACCCCGUCGAAAUAUAUCAACAAGUUCCAUAACAUAACCCGGACUCGCCCGUGGUCUCAAAUCAUAUCAAACAAUAUCGAAACUAUGAAUCAUACUACGAAUUGAACUUAUGAAUUUUCAAAUCUUCUAACUUCCAAAACUCGCGCCGAAAUAUAUCAAAUCAACCCGGAAUGAUGUCAAAUUUUGCAUGCAAUUUCCAAAUGACAUAACGGAGCUAAUCCAACUAUCGGAAUCGUAUUCCGACCCCGAUAUCAUCAAAAUCCACUCUCGGUCAAACCUCUCUACCUUCCAAAACUUCAACUUUCCAAUUUCGCCGAAAUGCUUCAAAUUACCCUACGAACCUCCAAAUCCAAAUCCGGAUGCAUGCCUAAGACAAAAAUCACCAUUCGGGCCUAUCUGAACCAUCAAAACUCCAAUUCGAGGUCAAGUACUCAAAAGUCAAACCUUGGUUAAUUCUUUCAACUUCGAGCUUCUCAAAUGAGAGUCACUCCUUAAAAUCCUUUCCAAAUUCUCAAAAACCCAAGCCGAUGAUGCACGCAAGUCAUAAUACACUUUGUGAAGCUACUCGUGACCUCAAGCUACCGAACCGGAUGCAAUUGCUCAAAACGACCAUUCGGGUCGUUACAUUUCCUAAUAGCAAGUGUAUGAAUAAACCAAAAAGUUUAAAGGCUAAACUUGAGCAACGUCGAAUAGUACAGUCAAAAAUUUAGUCGUUUUCCCAUAAUAUAAUUUAGACCAUUUAUUAUACUCUCUUAUAUAUUCUUCCUCUUCUAUCAUCCGACAUUGUACACCAAUCUUAGUAGAUCUCAAAAAAAUUGAUUUGCUAUUGUUUGUUGUUUGCAGUAAAUGGGCCGUUUAGUCUAUGAUCAAGCUUCAUCAUGGUUAACGCAGUUUUUCAAAAGGAUGAACCAUAUGUGCAUCUAAUUCAGAGCAUCAAAACAAUGAGUUGUUCAAGCACUAGUGUGGAAGAUGUUAUAUGCUUUCAAAACCUCCUUGCACGCAUGUGCCAUCCAGUUCUAGGAUUUAUAUGUGGAAUUGUGGAUUGAAAAACUUCUCUGCAUUUUUCUUCCACAGAAAUUUGAUUUUGUCCAAAUCAAUUCCACAAAUAGAAUAAUGAGGCUUGAGUUAGUGCAAUUGUUUAAUUGAUAGGAGAAAGGUUAAGUCAUGGUGAAUCUUAGAGUGAAAAAAUAGUUAGAGACAACACACAACUGGCUAGAAGAAAAUAGAAAUUUGUCUUAAGAGAAAGCAUUGUUGGGGUACAUAUUAUUAACUAUGCAUUUAAAUAUAUUAUAUUCUAACACUUGCCAUAGUUAAAAGUCUAAGCAGGAGAUUGUUGGGAUAUAUACUAUUAAUCAUGUGUUUACAUAUAGUAUUUAUUAUAAAAUAAUUAUGUAUUUAAUUAUAAUAAAGAUUUAAAGAGAUCAUGUAUUUGUGUAUAAGUUUUAAUUAUAGUAGAUGAUUUAAUGUAUAGAGUUUAACUUAUUCAUAGAAGAUUAAAUCAUCGGUUCUUAUAAAUUAUAAAGAUUAUGUUCACAAUAUAAUUAUGGAAUGGGACAAGCCAUCAGAAUGAUUGUAAUUAAAGAUUAAAUAUAAUUUAUAUUGAUCAUGAAAAUGCUAUAAUUUUGACUUCUUGUGAUAGUACAUUUUAUAUGUUUUGUACAUAUCAAGUAGAGAUAGGUAUUUUGCACUAACUUAAUAAAAUAAAUUCUCUUGUCCAUCAAGUGUACUUAUACUAUUAAUCUUGAUAUAAUUAGUAUUAGCUAUGUGUAUUAUUUAAUAUUUUGAUUUAUUAAAAGGUGAGAUUCUGUUCUUGUAAUAUGCCUCAUAAGUUGGAUGAUAGAAAUAUAUAUAUUGGCGAAGUAAUAGUUAGUUUAUGAAAUCAUAUCUUGGUCUAGAGAUUGAUGAUACACCUUUACGAAAGCUUAUAAAUUUUCAUGUGUAAAUCUUGCAGGUUAAUUUUAUAUCUGUCACAUGAAAUAAGUUAAGAGAAAAAAAAAAAUAAUUAACGAAUUAAAUAAUCAGUAAUUUAAUUUAUUUGAUUAGUAACUGAAACUUAACAUAUGAAAUUAAAUAAGGUUUAAUAAGAAAAUUUUAAAAUUGAACUGAGAAGUGCAAUAAUAAACUUUUAGUGGAAUAAUUCUCAGUUUAUUAUGGUAGAAUUAAUUUCAACAUUUCAUAUUAAGUAUAUAUAGGAAGCCUCGUCAAUUGAAUUCAGAAGUCCCCGCUAUGCCUGAUUAGAAUUAAAUGAAUUUCGUUUUCUUGACAAAUAUAACGAACCAAUCGACCAUUUUGAUUGUAGAAUCACAUUUCCCUCUCUGAGAUUUUUCAUAGGUUCAUUUGAUGUUUAUUACUUGCGGAUAUGUAUGGAACGGGACCCAAGAAGUUUAGGAGUUAUAUAAAAAAAUUCUUAGUCCCUAACUAAAGGCCUUAAGUAAAGAGAGUUUACCAAAGUCAAUAUUUUUAGCUAAACAAUCUCAGAUUCGUUAUUUGGAUGUUCUGAUAGGUUUGUACGUUAAAUUUGGACUUAUACGUAUGUUCGAUUUGGCGCCCGAGGGAAUCAAAUGCGAUUCGAUCAUAUCUUGUGCAAGAUGGAACUUGAAGAACUUAAGAAAAUUCAUAUUUUAGUUUCGAUCUUGAUUUUUAGUUGUAGUAUUUUCGGAUGUGUUUUAAGCCCUUGGACAAGUUCGUAUAGGGUAUACAAAGUAGUAAGGAUGAUUGGACGGGAUUCCGUGGGGCUCAGGUGAAUUUUAGAGUAAUCAGAUGAUGAUUUUGUAAUGAGAAAACUAUAGAAAAUGGUAGCAGACAUUGACGGCAUCCGCCCUCUGUUGCAGCACCUGGGGAGGGACAGAGCUAGGACACAUCAUGUCCCAACUGGCGCCAAUGCCUAGUCAAAUUUUGCUGAAAUUUCUUUUUUUCCAUAUAUAGCCCCAUUUCGUAUAAACACUUUAUUUUAUCAUAUUGGGAGCUACAUAGUACAAAAUUUGGGGAUUUUUUUAGAGAUUUCAACUACAUAAUUAGGGUAAAAAAAUCUAACCUAGAACUAUGGUUAUAACCUAGACCCCAUGUACUCAACAAGUAUUAUAACUAACCUCGACGAGGUAAUAGAAGCAAAAUUAUAAAUGAUACUCGUCAAUCACCUGUACAUGUUCAUAAAUUCUAAAAAGUAUAGAACAUAAAUAUGAUCAAAAAUUAUGAAAUCAUGGAUAAAAUCGCCUUGGUGCUCACAUAUAUUUUUAACAUAUUCUGCUUAGUUAAUAACCCAGCAUAUAAAGAAGAUAUGCAAAUAAACAGGGUAAAUAGGCAAGGAAAUUGCAAGUAAGUAUGAAAUGGAACAACCAAAUAUCACUCUAUUUCGGCGCGCCCGAUCCAAAAAAAAAUCACAUCACGACUCUCAGGCCCACAUCAGAAUCUCAGUAACCGAACCAAACAAAUAACCAGCUUUCCCAGAGCUCAUAUCAAGCAGAAACUCAUCGGUUUCUCAUAAUCCGUGUGUACACCAUCAAGAAGGCACAUGAGAGGGUGACCCUGGGGAGAUGGAUCCAUAUCCACAUAUUGCACGGCGUAGUCAGGUGCAAAUAGGCCGAUAUGGUCACAUGCUCAAUAUCAUAAUCCGUCCAAAGUGGUCACAAGCUCAAUAUCACAGAUCCGCCUGGCGUGGUCACAAGCUAAGUAUCUCAAUACGUCCGUCGUGGUCACAUGCAUAAUAUAACAAUCCGCUCAUCGUGGUCACUUGCACAAUAUCAUAUUUCGCCCAGCGUGAUCACAUGCACAAUAUCAUAAUCUGCCCAGCGUGGUCACAUGAACAAUAUCAUAAUCCGCCUGGCGUGGUCACAUUCUACCAGUCCAAAUCAUAUCACACAGAAAGCAAAUAUACAAGAAAAUAUGUAUAUGAUCAAUGAAUAUAAAAUUUCAUACUCCUUGACUGGUAUAAGUGACAUGCUAAUGUGUAUGCAUAUGUAAGUGUGAUAUCAUAGCUCAAAUAAG
rnacentral:lncRNA from 1 species